UGAAAUCACAAGAAUCUUAUAUGGCUUGAUCCAGAGAGGCACUCGCUCCUGUUCCCAAAUGGACUGUGAGGAGACACAAAGUUGUUUCAACACCUGGAAGGCCAGCAGCUCCUGGCGAAGGUCAUCUCCACACUUGACAAUGACUGAAAGGAGUCGCCAAUUGGGAAGAUGGCCAUAUGGAGAACCUUCUCUGAUCCUCCUGUGAAGAAAGAAGUCACAGGAUGAUGCCAGGGUAAGGACUCAGACCACCGAGCAAGCCUGAUGGAGUGUUUGGAGGCAGAAGGGCGAUGGAGGAGUAGCUCAAGCAAUGUUCCGGCUGCACCUUCAGGGCCUCAAGUAUAGAACAAGGACAAAAU